UGUAGUCUGCAACCUGACUACAUGAAGCUGGAAUCGCUAGUAAUCGCAGAUCAGAAUGCUGCGGUGAAUACGUUCCCGGGUCUUGUACACACCGCCCGUCACACCAUGGGAGUCGGAAAUGCCCGAAGCCAGUGACCCAACCUUAAGGAGGGAGCUGUCGAAGGUGGAGCCGGUAACUGAGGUGAAGUCGUAACAAGGUAGC
rnacentral:rRNA from 1 species